CAGUCGUCGCGACGUCCUCGCACCGCAGUGACUUGCGCCGAUUCUUCGUUCAUACGUGAAUACCGCACAUAACGAGGGACCGACGUUCACCGUCAAAGUCUUUGCAGGAUAGAUAUCCCCUCGAGAGUCGUUACGAAUCCGAUAAUAAACGAAAACGUACGUAACGAAUAGAUUCCUCGAAAGAACAAAGGGGGGAGAAAAAAAGGAAAAGAAAAAGAAAAAGAGCAACCGACAACUAUUUUUGGAGAAUUUGAUCUUUCGAGAGUAGACGUUUGUGCGAAGAGGGGUGGCCGGGCGUCCCUCGAGAGACAUAUUCGGGCAGAAAAGGCAAGAUCUCCGUGUGGCAAUUACACGAGCAUCGCGAUUAAUCGCGAUACGUCGCAGAGUGCCACGAGGACGCUGGUCGAAUUACCACGAGCGUGAUUAGUCGACACACACGACGAAAGAGUGUUUUCACAUAGGGGCCGUUUCUCCCUUGGCAGAUGUUCCCCUCCACCGCUUCGAAUCGCUAAGGCAUCGCUAACGAUUCGCUAACCAUCUGGAUCCUCUUUCGAUCUCGGUUAUUUCGCUCUUUCCCUCUGUUUCACCCCUGUUCCUUUUCUUUUUUUUUUUCGCACCUGUGUGUGUGCCAGCUAGUGCUGACUUGGCACCGCUGACUGCGUGCGAGUGAAACCGAGCCCGAGAAGGAAAAGAGCCAAAGGGGGAAAAACAGAGAGCUCGAGCCUGCUCGUUGGACCCCUUUUUGAUUUUUCUCUUUUAUUUCUCGUCGCCCUCUCGAGUCACGAGUCUUUCUCUCUCUUUCUCCCUCUCUCUCUCCCUCCCUCUCUCUCUCUCUCUCUCUCUCUCUCUUUCUCUCUCUGUGUGUUCUGCGUCGCUGGAUGAGUCGCCUGCUUUGACAUUCAACUCGAUAUUUGUCGGCUAUCAUUGUUCGUCGUAGCCGGGGACACGGGGCAGGAGCCAGCGGGUAGCAGCGAAACGAACGUGGAGAAAAGUGACGUGACACGUAUGUAAGUGUGAAAAGGGGCGAGGAAAAGUGCAAGCUGGCAAGCCUACGACUCCUCUCUCUCCGGUCUUCUUCGAUAUCCAGUUCGUCCGAGGGGAAGAAUCGAGUUUGUCGACGAUAUCAAGGAUUCUCUUUAAGACGCCGGUUGCGGCUGUGCGAGCAUCUCCGAGCUGUGCAUGUCCGAGUUUGGUGAUUCACUGAAAUCGGCAAGUGCGGCUGCCACGUCCAAUAUCUGUAAUCCG